GGUUGUAGCUCAGUGGUAGAAUGCUUGCCUAGCACAUGUGAGAUACUGCGUUCAAUCCUCAGCACCA
rnacentral:tRNA from 1 species